GGAAGUUUCGAAAACACCAUUCUUACGAGCAAUGCUGAUAUCAAGAAAGAGAAGUGUGGAACUAGAUUCAAUUUCACUGGUGAAUUUGAUAUUAGGAUGUCAGCGAUUCUUGAUAUCAGCAUUUCUCGUACGAAUGGUGUUUUCGAAACUUCC